rnacentral:rRNA from 1 species
GAUGAACGCUGGCGGCGUGCCUAAUACAUGCAAGUCGAGCGAACAGACGAGGAGCUUGCUCCUCUUACGUUAGCGGCGGACGGGUGAGUAACACGUGGAUAACCUACCUAUAAGACUGGGAUAACUUCGGGAAACCGGAGCUAAUACCGGAUAAUAUAUUGAACCGCAUGGUUCAAUAGUGAAAGACGGUUUUGCUGUCACUUAUAGAUGGAUCCGCGCCGCAUUAGCUAGUUGGUAAGGUAACGGCUUACCAAGGCAACGAUGCGUAGCCGACCUGAGAGGGUGAUCGGCCACACUGGAACUGAGACACGGUCAAGACUCCUACGGGAGGAAGCAGUAGGGAAUCUUCCGCAAUGGGCGAAAGCCUGACGGAGCAACGCCGCGUGAGUGAUGAAGGUCUUCGGAUCGUAAAACUCUGUUAUUAGGGAAGAACAAAUGUGUAAGUAACUAUGCACGUCUUGACGGUACCUAAUCAGAAAGCCACGGCUAACUACGUG